GGCGGCGGCCUAACACAUGCAACGUCGAGCGGCAGCGACAACAUUGAACCUUCGGGGGAUUUGUUGGGCGGCGAGCGGCGGACGGGUGAGUAAUGCUUGGGAAUAUGCCUUAUGGUGGGGGACAACAGUUGGAAACGACUGCUAAUACCGCAUGAUGUCUACGGACCAAAGUGGGGGACCUUCGGGCCUCACGCCAUAAGAUUAGCCCAAGUGGGAUUAGCUAGUUGGUGAGGUAAUGGCUCACCAAGGCGACGAUCCCUAGCUGGUUUGAGAGGAUGAUCAGCCACACUGGGACUGAGACACGGCCCAUACUCCUACGGGAGGCAGCAGUGGGGAAUAUUGCACAAUGGGCGCAAGCCUGAUGCAGCCAUGCCGCGUGUGUGAAGAAGGCCUUCGGGUUGUAAAGCACUUUCAGUAAGGAGGAAAGGUUAACUGUUAAUAUCGCUUAGCUGUGACGUUACUUACAGAAGAAGCACCGGCUAACUCCGUGCCAGCAGCCGCGGUAAUA
rnacentral:rRNA from 1 species